GAUUUUGUAAAAUUAUAUUUAAAUUAAUAAUUUAAGUAUUUUACACAAACUAUACAAAAUUCAGAACUUCUUCUCUGAUCCCUCCUCCGUCAUUCACCGCUCUUUCCAGAGACCUUCUCGACGGUACAAACAUCGAUAGCUUCCUUUCCUUCUUUCUCUCAGAAAGUCAUUCCCGAUCCUUCCACCACUGCUUCCUCACUAGGUUUGAACCCCUCCAAAAUGUCGAAUGUCUGUUCAUUGCCUUCGAUGAAGUGGACAUAUCUAUACUUCACCGCCCGUGUAAUCCAAUCAUAUUAGUAUAAGUGUCACUAGCCAAUUUCUUUUUGUCUCUUUCAUUCCCAUGUAUUCUUUUCCCCCUGUCGGUGGCGGUCCUUGGGUUUUGAUUAACUCCAUCGAAACCUCUGCUUCAUUUCUCUAUCGUCCCUAAGUCUGGAGUCCGACCACCACAGUUCGCACCUCCAACAUCGCUAGAAAGAAGGAAAAACCAUGCAAUGGUUGUGGUUUGAUCGACUGUUUCUCAAUUUCAAUUUCUGCCUCAAUCUUCUGACAUGUCUGCUGACCAUGGUUUUUGGUGGAAUUUUUCCACCAUCUUAAAUCGCCGAUGGUGAAAGGGAUUGAGGUAGAUGAUGUAAAUGUGAAGGAAGCUUACUUCAAAGGGGUUUGUUUCUUGAUGUAUGAGAAUUUUCAAGAGCCUAUAAGCAGGGAAAUGAUUUGGGACGACUUGAUCUGAUUAAAUUACAUUCCCAAUUUGGAUUUGUUGGUUAGAUGGUUUUUAUUUCAUGUUUUAUUUUUUCUGUUAUGUUUUGUACAUUGUUGAAUUGUUGGUUAGCUUAUCAACAUGGGUUUGAGAAGUAAUGCUUUGAGAUUAUCAACAUUUUUAGAUGAUGAUGGUAGGAAUGCUUUGAGAUGUUUACUCACUACUUAUGCUACACAUAACCCCUGUGUUGGCUAUUGUCAGAAAGAGAAAGAGGAUGAUUUGAAGAAAGUACUUGUCUUACAAUGACAAAUGAAAAUUGAAGAACUUAAAGGAAAGUUGCAGGUGAUGAAGCAUUUUAAAAUUAAAAAUUACGUGUUUGGCUAUUUACCCAACCAACGUAUAUAACAUUCUGCUUAAAGAAAAUACAAUUUAGUUAUUUCUAUAUAUACACAUUCAAUUUUGCAAUAAAUGUGGCAAUUUUUUUGUUUUAUUUUACUUAAAGAAAGAAAGAACAUAUUAAAUAUUAGUAUGAACUCAAGAUUGUACUUUUUUAGUUUAAAGAUCUGAUUAGAUACCAACUAAACCAAAAGGAAGAAGUUAUUAGUCAUGGUGAUUCAUAGGAUAGAAAAUAAAUAAAAAUUAUAUUACUUGGAGUUGAAUAUGAAGCUUGGCUUUUUCUAUGCAAAAAUACAAGUCAAACAAGUGGAGGAACAAGUACUUAAUUUUUUCCAAUAACUCUGUAUAAUAAUAUUUUGUGGCUUUUUCUUUUUUUAGUAAAAGGCGAAAGAAUAUGAAAUUAUUUUAUAUUUAGGUUGGAACUAAACCAACAAAGACCUCUAGAUUAUUGCAGGCGUUGUUGCCUAAACAGAUACUCUACAUUUAUUUGCAUUUCUUUGUCCUCACAUGGAGUAGGAAAUC